UCUGUCACCGGUCAUUUUACUCUCGUAGAACAAGAAACCGGAAGUAGUGAACAGGUGUUGAUCAGUCAAUAGUGUUGAUUAAUUAACCUGAUUAAUGUUGAGUUAGCAACUGACUUUGGUCUCACUGUAUAGGGAACAAAUAAGUAAAACCCGACAUGAAGACACUGAGUUAUAUCCAGGUACAGUAAUAUUAUUUGUUAAAGUUGACUUCCUGUUCGUGUUUAGCUGUUAGCUUUGAAGCUAAUAGAGGAGGAGCUUGUGUUGUUUUGCUAAAGUUUAGAAGAAAUAUUAUGUAGCUUUUCACUGCUUCUUCCCAAAUAAACUGGUUUGAGCAUUAAUUUAAUAUUAACACGGUUCAGGUAAACACGACAUUACAAAUAUUUAUCUACUAUUUUAAACGACGUGUCAUCAGUGUAACAUGGAGAAGAAAUGUGAACAUGUCCAUAUAAAACCAAAGCAGGAGCCUCCAGUUCUUCAUGGUGGAGAACAUGCUGAUGGAUCACCACAACCAGAGCAGCCCUCAGGACGACACCACGACAAGAACCUGGACGGGAGGAUCUGAGGGGAAAGAUUCAGGUGGAGAAAUCCCUCCUGAGAAAAUCUAAAUGUCAACCAGAAAUCCUGAUGAACAACAAACAACAUUAAAGAAACUGUACAGUGAAGAAGAACAUUAGAAACCAGGUCCCUGCUCCUCUCCAGUGUAAAAGCUCCUCCUCAUCUUUGUAGGAAUUAAGUAAUGAACUCAUUUCAUUUUGAAUAGUUUUUUAAUCAUAUUUUCAUAAAUCUGAAAUGUUUUCCUUGUUGAGUGCUUCAAACAUUUGAUGCUGUAACUAAUCAGACGUUGUGUGUAAACUCUUGUUGUUUUACUCCAAAGAAUCUGUCACACUUGAAAAGUUGUGCAGUUAUUUACAUAUUUAAUAAAAGAAAGAAAAAGC